rnacentral:ncRNA from 1 species
GAUACCGGGAGAGACCGCGCAUUUGCGGCGCCGAAGGGGCUACGCCGAAAACUCUCAGGCAAAAGGGACCGGU